rnacentral:lncRNA from 1 species
GCUGUAGCCUUUUGCUGGCAGGAGACCACUGUGUGGAGUCAGAGGGCAGAGAGAUGGGGAAGCCAGGUGCUAAUGACAUCACUGGUUUGCUGGAUGCAGCCUUGCCUGAUUUAUCUGUGAACUCCUUCAGUUCUUUAAGACAACUAGGUCACUUCAUUGCUUGAGUCUGAGAUUUCUGCUCUUAGAAACAUACUCAGUGUUACUGAGCUCCAGCUGCCUACACAGAACCCAUUAACUACCUUUUACUUCCUCACAGAACCUCUCUUUUACAGAUGCCCCAUCCUCAUGUAGCCCCUAUGACCCAGAGGAACCCCUUCAGCUUGAGGAUGAUUUUGGGAACACCACGCCUUAGAGAAGGUCAGUGACCUCUGCCUGCCCUCUGCGCUUUGCCCACCCCCACCCCCUGCCCACCAUGGUGUGUGACAUUGGUGCCAAGGGGCAAGUUCAGCCGGAGUGAUGUUCUUGGUAGAGCUGAAGUGGUCCACCACAGCUACAGCAGACAAAGCUCUUUGUUCUCAACUCACGCUGCUAAUCGUUCAAUUCCAAGGACAACCAGGAACAUCGCAUUUUGUUUCCAGAGCUGCAUGAUAUCUUGGAGGAAGCACGGGUGUCCCACUUGCAUAUCCUGACCCUCACCCCUUUGGUGCAGAGGGGCCAGGCCACCAGCUACCAGCACCUGCCCAGCAGGGGAGGCUGAAGUGAUGGGAAAUCAGUGCCCCCUGGAAAAAGCCCUCAACAAUAACUGCUAAGAAUUGAUACAUAAAUGCCUUAGCUCCGUCUCUC